rnacentral:rRNA from 1 species
CCUACGGGGGGCUGCAGUGGGGAAUAUUGGACAAUGGGCGCAAGCCUGAUCCAGCAAUGCCGCGUGUGUGAAGAAGGCCUUCGGGUUGUAAAGCACUUUUGUUCGGGAAGAAAUCCGUGUGGUUAAUACCCGUACGGGAUGACGGUACCGAAAGAAUAAGCACCGGCUAACUUCGUGCCAGCAGCCGCGGUAAUACGAAGGGUGCAAGCGUUAAUCGGAAUUACUGGGCGUAAAGCGUGCGUAGGCGGUUUGUUAAGUCAGAUGUGAAAGCCCCG